rnacentral:lncRNA from 10 species
GGGCUCCCAGCCUGUCUGUACCUGGUCGAGACACCCCGUGCCAGAGGCGGAACAUGUAUGAAAUGCCAGGUGCCCAGAGGACCCAGGCAGUCCGUCAUUCACAUACCAACCCACGUGCAGGCUUCAAUUCAACCUUGAAGCCAUUUGGGCCUGGGCUUUUUUGAUGACUUAUUUGAUUCAUAGUUUUUUGGUUACUAAUUGAGUCUCUUCACUUGUUAUAGGUCUGUUGAGAUUGUCUAUUUUUUCUUGAGUCAGCCGUCUGAAAAGAACACGAGGUGGACAGGGCAGAGCGGUCAAGGAAAGCCAUAGGAGGAGGGCACUUAUUUGAGCAAAGACCGGCGGGACGUGGGCGUCGAGGGUAAGGAUAUCUGCAGAAGUACUGUCUUGAGCAAGGAGCACGGCAGACAGAGCCUCUGAGACACGAGAGCCUGGAGUGUAAGAAACACAGUAGAGGCCACUAAGUCGAGAACGCAGGAGCUGGAAGGACUGGAAAUGGGCAGCCUUCGGAAGACUGAGCACAC